AUUGAACGCUGGCGGCAUGCCUUACACAUGCAAGUCGAACGGCAGCGGACCUUCGGGUGCCGGCGAGUGGCGAACGGGUGAGUAAUAUAUCGGAACGUACCUUACAGUGGGGGAUAACGUAGCGAAAGUUACGCUAAUACCGCAUAUUCUGUGAGCAGGAAAGCAGGGGAUCGCAAGACCUUGCGCUGAUUGAGCGGCCGAUAUCAGAUUAGCUAGUUGGUGAGGUAAAGGCUCACCAAGGCGACGAUCUGUAGCGGGUCUGAGAGGAUGAUCCGCCACACUGGAACUGAGACACGGUCCAGACUCCUACGGGAGGCAGCAGUGGGGAAUUUUGGACAAUGGGCGCAAGCCUGAUCCAGCCAUGCCGCGUGAGUGAAGAAGGCCU
rnacentral:rRNA from 1 species